CCUCAAGAGCGUUGAGGUGAUGGGAUCUGUUCGAUACAGAGAAGAUAAGCAUGAUCCCUGGGCAAGGAUGACGCAUGAAGUCGUGAAGCAUUCUAUGUUUAU
ensembl:snRNA U6 U6 spliceosomal RNA